rnacentral:rRNA from 1 species
UACGUAGGGGGCGAGCGUUGUCCGGAUUUAUUGGGCGUAAAGAGCUCGUAGGUGGCCUGUCGCGUCGGCUGUGAAAACUCGGGGCUCAACUCCGAGCUUGCAGUCGAUACGGGCAGGCUAGAGUUCGGCAGGGGAGACUGGAAUUCCUGGUGUAGCGGUGAAAUGCGCAGAUAUCAGGAGGAACACCGGUGGCGAAGGCGGGUCUCUGGGCCGAUACUGACACUGAGGAGCGAAAGCGUGGGGAGCGAACAGG